rnacentral:rRNA from 1 species
UACGGAGGGUGCAACCGUUGCUCGGAAUUAUUGGGCGUAAAGCGCACGUAGGUGGUCUGUUAAGUCGGAUGUGAAAGCCCUGGGCUCAACCCAGGAAGUGCAUUCGAAACUGGCGGGCUUGAGUAUGGAAGAGGGUCGCGGAAUUCCCGGUGUAGAGGUGAAAUUCGUAGAUAUCGGGAGGAACACCAGUGGCGAAGGCGGCGACCUGGGCCAAUACUGACACUGAGGUGCGAAAGCGUGGGGAGCAAACGGG